rnacentral:tRNA from 1 species
GGGGUUGUAGCCUAGUGGUUAGGGCGUCGGACUCACGACGGUUGGGGGUUCGAUUCCCGAUCCCU